UACGUAGGGGGCAAGCGUUGUCCGGAUUUAUUGGCGUAAAGAGCGUGUAGGCGGCUUGGUAGGUCCGCUGUGAAAACUCGAGGCUCAACCUCGAGAUGUCGGCGGAAACCACUUGGCUAGAGUCCGGAAGAGGAGAGUGGAAUUCCUGGUGUAGCGGUGAAAUGCGCAGAUAUCAGGAAGAACACCUAUGGCGAAGGCAGCUCUCUGGGACGGUACUGACGCUGAGACGCGAAAGCGUGGGGAGCGAACAGG
rnacentral:rRNA from 1 species